ensembl:snRNA U6 U6 spliceosomal RNA
GUGUUUGCUUCAGCAGCACAUAUACUAAAAUUGGAAUGAUACAGAGAAGAUCAGCAUGGCCUCUGCACAAGGAUGACACAGAAAUUCGUGAAGCGUUCCAUAGUUUU